UCCUGCUCCGUACAAGACUGAUUGUAUAGACUACGAAGAUCUGUGGGAGAAGAACAACAGAACAGGACCGCGAUCACAAAGGUCUUGCUUGAUGAAAUGUAUUGAUGUAGUAUCUCGCUUGUGUAUAAAUUGUACUCAAGAUAUCCAUGCUCCUCUACAGGACAGAUGCGCAGGAAUCAAUGCAGGUCGUAAAGAAUGUAUUGGAAAUCUUACUGACUCAAUACUUGAGGAGUACGAAAAAUGUGAAAUGCAAUGCAAGAAAGA